rnacentral:rRNA from 1 species
UACGUAGGGUGCAAGCGUUAAUCGGAAUUACUGGGCGUAAAGCGUGCGCAGGCGGUGAUGUAAGACAGAUGUGAAAUCCCCGGGCUUAACCUGGGAACUGCAUUUGUGACUGCACGGCUAGAGUGCGGCAGAGGGGGAUGGAAUUCCGCGUGUAGCAGUGAAAUGCGUAGAUAUGCGGAGGAACACCGAUGGCGAAGGCAAUCCCCUGGGCCUGCACUGACGCUCAUGCACGAAAGCGUGGGGAGCAAACAGG